CAUCGAGACUCCGUACGGGAGGCAGCAGUGGGGAAUAUUGCACAAUGGGCGCAAGCCUGAUGCAGCCAUGCCGCGUGUGUGAAGAAGGCCUUCGGGUGUAAAGCACUUUCAGUCGUGAGGAAGGUAGUGUAGUUAAUAGCUGCAUUAUUUGACGUUAGCGACAGAAGAAGCACCGGCUAACUCCGUGCCAGCAGCCGCGGUAAUACGGAGGGUGCGAGCGUUAAUCGGAAUUACUGGGCGUAAAGCGCAUGCAGGUGGUUUGUUAAGUCAGAUGUGAAAGCCCCGGGGCUCAACCUCGGAAUAGCAUUUUGAAACUGGCAGACUAGAGUACUGUAGAGGGGGUAGAAUUUCAGGUGUAGCGGUGAAAUGCGUAGAGAUCUGAAGGAAUACCGGUGGCGAAGGCCGGCCCCCCUGGACAGAUACUGACACUCAGAUGCGAAAGCGUGGGGAGCAAACAGGAUUAGAUACCCUGGUAG
rnacentral:rRNA from 1 species